rnacentral:ncRNA from 1 species
GCUUAUCAAGAGUGGCUGAGAGACUGGCUCUGAGACGCCCGGCAACCUGUCGAAGGAUAAGGUGCCAAUUCCAGACAGAUGAGUA